UACGUAGGGGGCCAGCGUUGUUCGGAAUUACUGGGUGUAAAGGGUUCGUAGGCGGUGCGGCAAGUUGGGAGUGAAAUCUCUGGGCUUAACUCAGAGGCUGCUUUCAAAACUGCUGUGCUGGAGUGUGGGAGAGGCGCGUGGAAUUGCAGGUGUAGCGGUGAAAUGCGUAGAUAUCUGCAGGAACACCCGUGGCGAAAGCGGCGCGCUGGACCAUAACUGACGCUGAGGAACGAAAGCUAGGGGAGCAAACAGG
rnacentral:rRNA from 1 species